rnacentral:rRNA from 1 species
UACGGGGGGAGCAAGCGUUGUUCGGAUUUACUGGGCGUAAAGGGCGCGUAGGCGGCGCAACAAGUCACUUGUGAAAUCUCCGGGCUUAACCCGGAGCGGUCAAGUGAUACUGUCGUGCUAGAGUGCGGAAGGGGCUACUGGAAUUCUCGGUGUAGCGGUGAAAUGCGUAGAUAUCGAGAGGAACACCUGCGGCGAAGGCGGGUUGCUGGGCCGACACUGACGCUGGAGGCGCGACAGCGUGGGGAGCAAACAGG